CGUCUAAUCACUUUAAUAAACAUCCAAUUAGGAAAGAUGAAACGGUUCAGCGAGGUGAUUAUUGUCAUACUCGUAUUGCUUGGUUUUACCCUAAUUGAUGGAAGAACAAUAUCUCCAGGUAUUUAUCGCUUUAACCUUCUUUUCUUUAUAUAUAUAUUUUUAAAUAAUAAAUUACAGAACAUGGUCGUUCGUUUGAAGAAGUUUCAAUUUAUGAUUUCGUUAUUUUCCUCGUUGUGAUUUUCGAAAAUGUAUUCAUAUAAAAUUGUCAAACUAAGUAACUAUUUACAAAUUUAAUUACAAAUAAAAAUGCCAAUGACUUGGUAAUAGGCAUAGAUACUAGGUAGAACAAUAGAACCUAUCGUUUUAGUUCAUUAAACAAGUCCGAGGACUGUGUGUUAGGUGAUCAACUAAACUAAUAAAAAAAUAUUGGGGGUGAUAGCCCCCACCCCCACCCUACCCUAACUUAACUUAGAUCUCGGCAUAAAAUAAAGAGAAAAUUAGCGAAUUAUUUAUUGGUAUAUCACUGUCACUGGCAAGAGAGUAUUAAGUAAAGUUAUUUUUUGAGUAUGAAUUAUUUUCCCGACGUAUUUAGAUUGAGUUUGUCGCGUAUGCUAUAAUUAUCUUCGUUGUUGUUUAUAUCUUUUAUGUGUGAUGAUGCUAGAGAUGGUUCACCUUAGAGAGUUGAGAUAAGAUGAGCUUGAUGACCUUGAGAUACUUGCGAUCAUAGAACACGUGAACUAGGCGGGGUUGAUUCGGCGGAAACCCCUCCGACGCUCACGUCAGACGAGCGGAUAGUAGAAAUGGGUCUGAGAAUACAUGUUGUAGUAUUGCUCAGAUAAUAGGACUUACCUUAAGGAAUGAGUUCAAACUUUUAUUUAUACCUCAUUGAUCGGGCUGAAGUUUAAUUAGUUGAGAUUGUCGGGUCAACACCUUAUUUAAAGGUGAUUGGGCAUCGGUAGUAGUGGUCUUCAAUAUUGGGCUCGUGGCCCAGUAAGUAAAGAAAUUGUAGGCCUAUUAGGCAUAUCAUUAAGCCCCCCCCCCCUCGAGCCGAUGUGGGGGCAUGUCGAAAGUUAUUACAUGAAGGUAAAAGUUUACUUAAUACUUAUACAAUUAAACCUCUAUAAAUUAGUACAGUUGGGAUUAGAGAAAUCCUAUUAAUUUAGUGAAUUAAAUUACUGAGUUAACAAUUUAACACAUUUUCACCGAGUCCGAACCGAGAGAAACUAUUAUUUAAUCAAGGUUAUUAAUUUAUCGAAAUCCUACUGUAUAGUUUAUCUUGGUUCCUUAAUUAUAUAAGAAAAAACAAAUAUAUAUGUCAAUCUUUUCUAACAACAGCUGCUCCUAUUUCUACUUAUUUAUUGCAAGCAACAGAUUAUGGGUCAAAUGAACUAUUGGCAACAAUUCUCCAACGAAGGGGCCCAAUUCCUCCGCCACCGCCACCACUACCGCCGAUCUCAUCUCGUCCAUGAAUACGUGAAAGUCCCAACUCUUUCAACAUAUCAAAGCUUCACUCUGAUAAUUCUUUUUUUUUUUUUUUGUUUUUUUUUUUAAAUUCAAAUUCUGGGAUGGGAAAGUAUUGUAAAGAAUACAUUUCGUAAACCAAUAAUUGAGUUAUCGUAGGCCACAUCAUUGCCGGGGGGUAACCCUGCAAUUUCUUUCAACUAGU
rnacentral:lncRNA from 1 species